rnacentral:rRNA from 1 species
UAAAAACCCCGACUUCGGAAGGGGUGUAUUUAUUAGAUACAAAACCAAUGCCCUUCGGGGCUCUUUGGUGAUUCAUGAUAACUAUACGAAUCGCACGGCCUUGCGCCGGCGAUGGUUCAUUCAAACUUCUUCCCUAUCAACUUUCGAUGUUUGGGUAUUGGCCAAACAUGGUUGCAACGGGUAACGGAGGGUUAGGGCUCGACCCCGGAGAAGGAGCCUGAGAAACGGCUACUACAUCCAAGGAAGGCAGCAGGCGCGCAAAUUACCCAAUCCCGACUCGGGGAGGUAGUGACAAUAAAUACUGAUACAGGGCCCUUUCGGGCCUUGUAAUUGGAAUGAGUACAAUUUAAAUCCCUUAACGAGGAACAAUUGGAGGGCAAGUCUGGUGCCAGCAGCCGCGGUAAUUCCAGCUCCAAUAGCGUAUAUUAAAGUUGUUGUGGUUAAAAAGCUCGUAGUUGAACCUUGGGCCUGGCUGGCCGGUCCGCCUCACCGCGUGCACUGGUCCGGCCGGGCCUUUCCCUCUGUGGAACCCCAUACCCUUCACUGGGCGUGGCGGGGAAACAGGACAUUUACUUU